rnacentral:tRNA from 1 species
GCGCCCGUAGCUCAGUGGAUAGAGCGCUGCCCUCCGGAGGCAGAGGCCAGAGGUUCGAAUCCUCUCGGGCGCGCCA